rnacentral:rRNA from 1 species
AUUGAACGCUGGCGGCAGGCUUAACACAUGCAAGUCGAGCGGAGCGAGGGUGCUUGCACCUUAGCUUAGCGGCGGACGGGUGAGUAAUGCUUAGGAAUCUGCCUAUUAGUGGGGGACAACAUUCCGAAAGGAAUGCUAAUACCGCAUACGUCCUACGGGGGAAAGCAGGGGAUCUUCGGACCUUGCGCUAAUAGAUGAGCCUAAGUCGGAUUAGCUAGUUGGUGGGGUAAAGGCCUACCAAGGCGACGAUCUGUAGCGGGUCUGAGAGGAUGAGCCGCCACACUGGGACUGAGACACGACCCAGACUCCUACGGGAGGCAGCAGUGGGGAAUAUUGGACAAUGGGCGGAAGCCUGAUCCAGCCAUGCCGCGUGUGUGAAGAAGGCCUUUUGGUUGUAAAGCACUUUAAGCGAGGAGGAGGCUACUAGUAUUAAUACUACUGGAUAGUGGACGUUACUCGCAGAAUAAGCACCGGCUAACUCUGUGCCAGCCGCCGCAGUAAGAC